UGGGAUUACAGGGAUGAGCCACUGUGCCCUGCUGGAAGGGUCAACUGGACAGAGAAAAAAGGACAUUGAACGAAGACACUCUGAAUUCAAAGGACAGAGAACAAAGACCCUGGCUUAUUUGGAAAUCAACCUCCUUCCCUAAUCUGCCAUGUAUUUGAUAUCUAUCGUUAUUGGUAUUUUAAAUAUAAGGACGUUUUAAAUAUGACCUCAAAUUCUUUGACAAUGCUUCCUCUUGAAUGUGGGCUGGUCCUAAUGACUAGCUUCCAAUGAGUAGAAAUUGCAGAAAUGAUGUGUUAAUUUUGAGGCUACAUCAUAAAAGACAAAGAUAAUGCAGCUUCCAUCUCCGUCCCUCUUCCAUCUUGCUCUGUAGGAAGCCAGCUUCCAUUUUGUAAGGACAUUCCAAUAGCCUAAGAAGCAAUGCCCAUGGUUAGGAACCGAAAUCUCCUGCCAAAUGACAAAUGAGUGACCAUCUCAGGAACAGCUCCCUUACCCCACCAAGCCUUCAGAGAGGACUGCAGCUCCAGCCAAAACCUUAGUUGCAACCACAUGAGAGAGCCUGAGUCAGCCAUUCAACUGAAGUGUUCCCAGACUCCUGACCCACAGAAAUCCACAGAUAAUAAAAGUUUGGUUUCAACCACUAUGUUUUGGGGUAAUCUAUUAUGUAGCAGUAGAUAAUUAAUAUAAUUUGUCUGCACACUGGAACUUAUGUCGUAAAAGAAGGGAGUUAGCUGGGCCUUCUCUGCAAGAAAAGCCUCUCUCCAUUCCAGACAAAAAAGGGGAACUUGUCUGAAAAAUCAGAAGGGUAGUGGGAUGGACUAUUAGUGUCCCCCUAAAACUCAUAAGUUAAAAUCGAAUUUGCAAUGUGAUGGUAUUUGGAGGUGGGUCCUUUGGAAGGUAAUUAGGUCAUAAGGGUGGAACCCUCAUGAAUGGGAUGAGUGACCUUGUAAAGGGAACCCCAGAGAACUUUCUUGCCCUCCCUCUUUCUGCCAUGUGGAGAUACAAGGAGAAGUGGACACUCUGCAACCAGGAAGAAGACCCUCACUAGAACUGACCAUACUGGAGCCCAGAGCUUGGACUUGCAGCCUCUGGAACCACAAGAAAUAAAUUUUUGUUGUUUAUAAACCA